rnacentral:tRNA from 1 species
GAGGUUGUAGCUCAGUUGGUUAGAGCAUCAGAUUGUGGUUCUGAGGGUCGGGGGUUCGAGUCCCCUCAGCCUCC